CCUACGGGCGGCUGCAGUGGGGAAUAUUGCACAAUGGGCGCAAGCCUGAUGCAGCCAUGCCGCGUGUGUGAAGAAGGCCUUCGGGUUGUAAAGCACUUUCAGCGGGGAGGAAGGCGGUGAGGUUAAUAACCUCAUCGAUUGACGUUACCCGCAGAAGAAGCACCGGCUAACUCCGUGCCAGCAGCCGCGGUAAUACGGAGGGUGCAAGCGUUAAUCGGAAUUACUGGGCGUAAAGCGCACGCAGGCGGUCUGUCAAGUCGGAUGUGAAAUCCCCGGGCUCAACCUGGGAACUGCAUUCGAAACUGGCAGGCUAGAGUCUUGUAGAGGGGGGUAGAAUCCCAGGUGUAGCGGUGAAAUGCGUAGAGAUCUGGAGGAAUACCGGUGGCGAAGGCGGCCCCCUGGACAAAGACUGACGCUCAGGUGCGAAAGCGUGGGGAGCAAACAGGAUUAGAUACCCCUGUAGUC
rnacentral:rRNA from 1 species